AUGAAAUAGACUUUCUUUACUGGAAAAAGAUUGUUCAGAUAUUUUCAAGCUUUUCUCUCUAGCCUCUUGUAAGCUUCGUCUUCUUCCUCUUUGAUCCUUGAGCUUUUCCUUCCAUGGAUGCUAUGUUAUCAUGGUAUCAGAGUUACUGCUCAUGAUCCUGUGCCUAUUAUCAUGUUGUAGUUGUAAUUCAUCUACUUCCUGCUUCCGCAAUCAAAGUCUUUGUGAUUCAUAUGAGUUGAAGUCCUAGAUCUACUUUUGUAGCUUAGAUCUCGCCUGUGCUUGUAGUGGUGCUCUAGAUCUAUGAAUUUGUGUGCAUCUGAGCUCGUUUCUACUGAAAUCUAGCUGUGAUUCUUGUUUUGGCUACUCUAAUUUG
rnacentral:lncRNA from 1 species